rnacentral:lncRNA from 1 species
UUAAUUUCAAGGAACACAUGAAGUCCUAGUUGAAAAUAUUAAAUAAUAACAAUAGUAACGAUUUAAUUGAUCAUAAAAAUAUCUUUUUAUUCAUACAAUUUGGAAGGAUUAAACUGAGUACAAUUUUAGAAACCAAAGUACAAAUACAAGAGAAAAGGAAACUAAUCAUCCUAAGGAUCCUCUAGCAAAAGUGUCAGAUGAUCUGGCUAAGGGCGCAUACUUCCUUCGGAUGCGGGAAAUCUCAGACUCAAAAGAUGUCUUCAUCUGAGCCUUCU